UACAGAGGGGGCAAGCGUUGUUCGGAAUUACUGGGCGUAAAGGGCGCGUAGGCGGCCUUCUAAGUCGAACGUGAAAUCCCUGGGCUCAACCCAGGAACUGCGUCCGAUACUGGAAGGCUUGAAUCCGGGAGAGGGAUGCGGAAUUCCAGGUGUAGCGGUGAAAUGCGUAGAUAUCGAGAGGAACACCUGCGGCGAAGGCGGGUUGCUGGGCUGACACUGACGCUGAUGCGCGAAAGCUAGGGGAGCGAACGGG
rnacentral:rRNA from 1 species